AGUGAACGCUGGCGGUAGGCCUAACACAUGCAAGUCGAACGGCAGCACAGUAAGAGCUUGCUCUUACGGGUGGCGAGUGGCGGACGGGUGAGGAAUACAUCGGACUCUACUUUUUCGUGGGGGAUAACGUAGGGAAACUUACGCUCAUACCGCAUACGACCUACGGGUGAAAGCAGUGGAUCUUCGGACCUUGCGCGAUUGAAUGAGCCGAUGUCGGAUUAGCUAGUUGGCGGGGUAAAGGCCCACCAAGGCGACGAUCCGUAGCUGGUCUGAGAGGAUGGUCAGCCACACUGGAACUGAGACACGGUCCAGACUCCUACGGGAGGCAGCAGUGGGGAAUAUUGGACAAUGGGCGCAAGCAUGAUCCAGCCAUACCGAGUGGGUGAAGAAGGCCUUCGGGUUGUAAAGCCCUUUUGUUGGGAAAGAAAAGCAGCAGGUUAAUACCACGCUGUUCUGACGGUACCCAAAGAAUAAGCACCGGCUAACUUCGUG
rnacentral:rRNA from 1 species